UACAGAGGGGGCAAGCGUUGUUCGGAAUUACUGGGCGUAAAGGGCGCGUAGGCGGCCUUCUAAGUCGAACGUGAAAUCCCCGGGCUCAACCCGGGAACUGCGUCCGAUACUGGGAGGCUUGAAUCCGGGAGAGGGAUGUGGAAUUCCAGGUGUAGCGGUGAAAUGCGUAGAUAUCUGGAGGAACACCGGUGGCGAAGGCGGCAUCCUGGACCGGUAUUGACACUGAAAAGCGAAAGCCAGGGGAGCAAACGGG
rnacentral:rRNA from 1 species